ACACCCGCUCACCUCCGCCUCCGCUUCGGACGCGUCCAGCGCGGCUCGGAGCCGGCCCAGGGCGCGCUGCGGGCCGCACUCUUCCAGCUGCUGCCACCUCCCUCAUGGAGCUGCCCUGGGCACUCCCUCCCCGUGUUGUGCCCAUCGCAAAGGCAAACGAGGCUUUUCCCCGGAACGGAUGACUGUCUGCUGGGAGAGGCAUGUUUGUGUUCUCUAGUCCAACCUUUGCGUAGCAGAAUUGACCCCAAACCAGAUCUGCUCUCUCACUGAACUUUGGGCACCUCCAGUGAUGGAGAUGCUCCCAUCUCCACAGAGGACCCCAUGGUGUUGAAGUCUCUGCAGGGACUCUCUCCUCGAAGUCAUAUCUGUGUAGAAUCCCAGCGGGAUUCCCAGCCGACACACCUCCCAACAGGCACAGACCCCAGACAGGAGCAGAUCCGCAUCACGGGGGCACCACCACUCAUGGAGUGCAGGACUCGGGACGUACAGAACAGACGUUCAGUGACGUACAGUGAGCUGAAGGAAGCACAUUUAUUUGGCUGCUCUAACAGACACCACGGAGAGGCGCGGAUACGCACACAGACAUUUGUGAGACGUGGCCCUCCUGCUUGCUGUGAGU